UAGGGAAUUUUCGGCAAUGGGGGGAACCCUGACCGAGCAACGCCGCGUGAACGAAGAAGUAUUUCGGUAUGUAAAGUUCUUUUAUUGGAGAAGAAAGAGAAAUUUGACGGUAACCAAUGAAUAAGCUCCGGCUAACUACGUGCCAGCAGCCGCGGUAAUACGUAGGGAGCGAGCGUUAUCCGGAAUUAUUGGGCGUAAAGGGUGCGUAGAUGGUUGAUAUAAGUCUUUUGUAAAAAUGCUAGGCUCAACCUAGUAGGGCAAAAGAUACUGAUGAACUAGAGUACGGCAGAGGCAAGUGGAACU
rnacentral:rRNA from 1 species